AGUGGCGCACGGGUGCGUAACGCGUAUACACCUACCUUAUACAGGGGUAUAGCCCAGGGAAACUUGGAUUAACACCCCAUAGUUUGGCAUCAUUAAAACUACGGUGGUAUAAGAUGGGUAUGCGUCCCAUUAGCUUGUUGGUGUGGUAACGGCACACCAAGGCAACGAUGGGUAGGGGCCCUGAGAGGGGGAUCCCCCACACUGGUACUGAGACACGGACCAGACUCCUACGGGAGGCAGCAGUGAGGAAUAUUGGACAAUGGGCGGGAGCCUGAUCCAGCCAUGCCGCGUGCAGGAAGACUGCCUAUGGGUUGUAAACUGCUUUUAUACGGGAAGAAACCCACCUACGUGUAGGUGGCUGACGGUACCGUAAGAAUAAGGACCGGCUAACUCCGUGCCAGCAGCCGCGGUAAUACGGAGGGUCCGAGCGUUAUCCGGAAUCAUUGGGUUUAAAGGGUCCGCAGGCGGCCAGAUAAGUCAGUGGUGAAAUUCCGUGGCUCAACCACGGAACUGCCAUUGAUACUGUUUGGCUUGAAUCAGUUCGAGGAUGCGGAAUGUGUGGUGUAGCGGUGAAAUGCAUAGAUAUCACACAGAACACCAAUUGCGAAGGCAGUGUCCCAGAACUGUAUUGACGCUGAAGAACGAAGCCGUUGGGUCCGAACAGGUUUAGGUACCCUGGGGGCA
rnacentral:rRNA from 1 species